rnacentral:tRNA from 1 species
GCGCCGUUAGCUCAUUGGUUAGAGCGCCAGCCUUAUAAGCUGGGCGUGGCUGGUUCGAUUCCAGCACGGCGUA